AGCUAUGUCGUGCCGCCCCCCAAAGGCGAUCCGAACCGCGAAGAAUCGCUCAAAUCGUGGCCCUGUCCUGAAUGCCAAUAUAAAUCGCAAAUGUCGGAGGAUCCUGAAUCUGAACUCAUCGCUGAGCCCGAAGAGUUGCACGCACCACCUGAGAGACAUUUGUAGAUAGUUGAGAUGUUGUGUUUGAGAAAAUAGAGUUUCCAGUGUGUGGCCAAAGUAGAAAGCAAACACUUUGUAAAAAUAAAGAUAAACUCGCGCGAAUCGUGUGGAUCGACGUGGAUACAUCACACGAUCACGACGCGCUUUUGUCCGCAUAAAAAAAGCUAACGAGCCAAAGGCGCGCGCCGCGUCCAGCCUCUCCGGAAUUAGACUGAAAAAAGUUGACGAAAAAAACUCCAUGGUCGCCGUGUUCAGGAGCAUGGCGAGGGGGCUCACCAUUUCGGUAUCCCAGGACAAAAUAGGUAAACCUACGUCUCCACCCGAGGACAUCACGUCCACGUGCUCAAAUAAUUUUCGUUUGAAGGUCUCGGGGUCCAUGGCGCGCGAAUGUCCGGAUCUUGCUGAUCCGGACAAAUGCGCUCAUGAGCGCCCGAGACCUUGAAACGAAAAUUAUUUCAGGACGUGGACGUGUUGUCCACGGGUGGAGACGUAGGUUUACCGGGUCAUUUCACUUCUCAGCAUUUCGAAGGUGCCGCGACCUUGUGUGCGGAACCGCGACCCAUGGCUAAAACUUUUUCGCAAGAGGAGCAUAACGUCACCUUUUUCCCCAUUAAAUUACAUACGAGGCACCGCGACGGGCUGAAAAAUCGUCGAAAAGUGACGAAAAAAAAUCAAUUAGGGUAGGGAUGACCAUAAGUGUUAUGUACGUACGUAUGUGAUUAUUACCUUAUUUUAUUACUUCAUUCGUUCGAAUAAUGAAGGUAUGGAUAGUCUACCUUCAUUAUUCGUUCGAAGGUACAUAUACCUUCGAAUGAAGCAAGGUAAUAAUAACAUUUAGAUGAUAAAUUAUAUAUAUUAGAAUACAUCAAUCUAUUUAUUAUUACCUCAUCAUUCUAUAACUUAUUAUAUAUAUACCAAUAAAUAAAGAAAGAUACGAAGAUAAUAAUAUG
rnacentral:lncRNA from 1 species